rnacentral:rRNA from 1 species
CGCGAGUGAAGCGGCAAAAGCUCAAAUUUGAAACCCUCGGGAUUGUAAUUUGAAGAUUUGGCAUUGGAGAAAGCUAACCCAAGUUGCUUGGAAUAGUACGUCAUAGAGGGUGACAACCCCGUCUGGCUAACCGUUCUCCAUGUAUUGCCUUAUCAAAGAGUCGAGUUGUUUGGGAAUGCAGCUCAAAGUGGGUGGUAAACUCCAUCUAAAGCUAAAUACUGGUGAGAGACCGAUAGCGAACAAGUACUGUGAAGGAAAGGUGAAAAGAACUUUGAAAAGAGAGUGAAAUAGUAUGUGAAAUUGUUGAUAGGGAAGGAAAUGAGUGGAGAGUGGCCGAGGUUUCAGCCGCCCCUCGUGGGCGGUGUACUGCCGACGCCGAGUCAUCGAUAGCGAGACGAGGGUUACAAAUGGGAGCGCCUUCGGGCGUUCUCCCCUAACCCUCCACACUGCCA